rnacentral:lncRNA from 1 species
GAAAAGACAACAUAGAAAAUAGAAAUGAAUGAAAACAAGACAUAGAAACUAGAAAUGAAGACUUUGACUAAAGACUGGUCAAGGUGCGGAUUCUUGUGUUGACUGGUCCAGAUUCACAAAGACGUCCAGGUUCAUCCUCUGGUGAUCAGGUCGUUCGCGGUAAGGAGCAGGACGGACGUAAGGCUGCCUGCAUGAUUGAUCGUCGAUGAUCCAUGAACGGAUGAAGAGAUAGCUCGACCCAAAUCUUCAGAGAGCUUAAGUAUCCUUCCUUUGGAGUAGUUGGAAGCAUCGUUCAUCAUGAAAUCAUCAAAGUGGUUGGAAAGGUCGUGAUCAGCCUGAUCCGGGCGUGCGGUACGUCCCAAACGGGCCAGCAAAGACAGGCUAAGUCCGGAAUCUGAUUCUUCUCGAUGAUCAUGGGUUCUGGCUUGACUGUUGGCUCUAGAAUGGCGAAUGGGUCGGGGAAGAACGCCUGUGGUUUGGCUGAUUUGGUCAUCAGGUCGUGGAUCCAUCCUUAGGUCACGUCCGGGUGCACGCGGGUCGAUCCGGUACACGGCUCUGUCCGUUGAUCUGGAACGGCUAAAUGGCUGAACCUCAGUUGGACUGAUCUGAUCGUCCUGGUCACCAUGCUGAGUCUGCUCCACGUCCUGGUCCAGGUCCUGGGUUCUAUCAUUCCCUCCCUCUUCAAAAGGAUUUGACCACAAAUCCGGAUCAUCUGCGCAAAAAGGAGAUAAAUCAGAAACAUUAAAACUUGAAGAGAUAUCAUACUUACCCUAAAGAUCAAGCUGGUAAGCAUUGUCAUGGAGUUUCCUGAGAAUCUGGAAUGGACCAUCGACCCGGGGCAUGAGUUUGGACUUCCUUUGUUCCGGGAAUCGUUCCUUCCUCAUGUGGACCCAAACAAGAUCACCUUCCUGGAAGAUCACUUCUUUCCUUUUCUUGUCUGCAAGUCGUUUGUAGCCCUCGGUCUUGGCUUCAAUGUUGGCACGAACCUGUUCAUGCAGCUUCUUGAUCGUGUCCACCUUCCUCUUGCCAUCUGUACUAACUCGUUCACUCAAAGGCAAAGGUAAAAGAUCAAGUGGAGACAAGGGAUUAAAUCCAUAAACAACCUCAAAAGGAGAAAACUUAGUAGCUGAAUGCAAAGCAUGGUUAUAAGCAAAUUCUACAUGAGGCAAACAUUCUUCCCAAGUCCUAAGAUUCUUUUUAACCAAAGAUCUAAGCAAAGCAGACAAGGUUCGGUUAACUACUUCAGUUUGCCCAUCAGUUUGCGGAUGACAAGUUGUAGAGAACAUCAAUCUAGUACCUAGCUUAGACCACAAGGUCUUCCAAAAAUAGCUAAGGAACUUAGCAUCACGAUCAGAGACAAUGGUCUUAGGCAUUCCAUGCAAUCUAACAACUUCCUUAAAGAAUAAAUCUGCAACUUGCACAGCAUCAUCAGUUUUGUGACAAGGAAUGAAAUGAGCCAUUUUCGAGAACCUAUCAACAACCACAAAGAUAGAAUCUCGUCCAGCUUUAGACCUAGGCAAUCCAAGCACAAAAUCCAUAGAAAUGUCUACCCAAGGAUGAGAGGGAAUGGGUAGAGCUGAGUACAUACCGUGGUGUGAUGCUUUAGGCUUAGACUUCUUGCACACCACACAUCGGCUACAGAUCCUCACAACAUCUUUCAUCAGACACGGCCAGUAGAAAUGGUCAUGAACCGCCUUGUAGGUUUUCUUGACUCCAAAGUGUCCCAUAAGCCCACCUCCAUGAGCUUCCCUGAGAAACAACUACCUCAAAGAACAUUGGGGCACACCCAAACGGUUAUCAAAGAACAAGAAACCAGAAUUUUGAAAGUAUUUGCCAUAAGCAACCUUUGAGCAUUUUCGAAAAAUCUCUUUAAAAUCCUGAUCAGAAGCAUAAAGAUCCUUGAUAAAUUCAAAGCCAAGCAAUUUAGUUUCAAGGGCUGAGAGAAGAGUGUACCUUCGAGACAAUGCAUCGGCCACAACAUUCUCCUUACCUUGUUUGUACUUGAUCACAUAAGGGAAUGUCUCAAUGAACUCCAUCCAACGAGCAUGCCUCUUGUUGAGCUUCUGCUGACCCUUAAGGUGUCUUAGAGACUGAUAAUCAGUGUGGAUGAUGAACUCCUUAGGCCAAAGAUAGUGCUGCCACGUUUGAAGGGCCCUCACCAAGGCAUAGAGUUCUUGGUCGUAUGUGGGGUAGUUGAGCAUGGCUCCUCCAAGCUUCUCACUGAAAUAAGCCACUGGUUUUCCAUCCUGCAUCAACACAGCACCAAUACCAACACCAGAAGCAUCACAUUCGAUUUCAAAAUCUUUAGAAAAAUCUGGAAGUACAAGUAAAGGGGCGUGAGUCAACUUCCCUUUAAGGAUUUCGAAUGCUUCUUCCUGAGCUGGUCCCCAUUUGAACCCCACGUUCUUCUUGAUUACUUCAGUAAGAGGAGCGGCCAAGGUACUGAAGUUUUGAACAAAUCGCCUAUAGAAGCCGGCAAGACCAUGGAAGCUUCUUACUUCACCAAUGGUGGUCGGAAUCGGCCAGUCCCGGAUUGCUUGGACCUUCUGCUCGUCUACUCUUAAGCCAUCUGCACCUACAACAAAACCUAGAAAGACCACAUGAUCUGUGCCAAAAGAACACUUUCCAAGGUUAGCAAACAAACGUUCCUUUCUAAGGACUUCAAGAACGGAUUUUAAAUGCUGUUUGUGCUCAUCAAGGCUUUUGCUGUAAAUAAGAAUGUCAUCAAAGUAAACCACAACAAAAUGACCAAUAAAAGACCUCAAGACAUGAUUCAUUAGGCGCAUGAAAGUACUAGGUGCAUUAGUGAGACCAAAGGGCAUGACAAGCCACUCAUACAAACCUUGUUUUGUUUUAAAGGCCGUUUUCCAUUCAUCACCUUCUUUCAUCCUAAUCUGAUGAUAGCCACUUCUCAAAUCUAUCUUAGAAAAGUACUUAGAACCAUGGAGUUCAUCAAGCAUAUCAUCAAGACGAGGGAUAGGAUGUCGAUAAUUUACCGUGAUGUUGUUUAUGGCCCGGCAGUCCACACACAUCCUCCAGGAGCCAUCCUUCUUUGGUACAAGUAGAACAGGCACGGCACAGGGACUGAGACUCUCUCUGAUGUAUUCCUUCUCAAGCAAGUCGUUGAUCUGUUUCUCCAGCUCCUUGGUCUCGACUGGAUUGGUGCGGUACGCUGGUCGGUUCGGUAGAGAGGCGCCCGGAACGAGAUCGAUCUGAUGCUCAAUGCCUCUCACCGGUGGCAAUCCUUUGGGAUUUUCUUCUGGAAACACAUCAGAAUAAUCCUGCAAGAUACCUAAAAACUCACUCGGAAUCUCCGGUGCAAGGUCAGAAGAAGAUGAGGCCAAGAGAGACUCUUUAUAAAUCAGUAAGAGAAAUGGCUUUUGAGAGCAAAGAGACUUUCUUACCUGACUUUCUUUGACAAAGAAAUUGGAGUUCCUGGUACUGGUCUCAGGUUUAUCAGCUUUAGAGUCUUGGUCUCGGUUCUUCUUAAGUUGGACUUGGUCUUGAUGGACUUCCGAAGGCGACAAAGGCACCAAGGUGAUCUUCUUUCCCUUAUGAUCAAAUGAAUGCCGGUUUGUGAAACCAUCAUGCACUGCCUUCUUGUCAAAUUGCCAAGGCCGACCCAAGAGAACAUGGCAAGCAUCCAUGGGAAGCACAUUGCACACAACCUCGUCCUCAUAUCGGCCAAUGGAAAGUGGAACCGUGACUUGCUCCUUCACAUACUGUUCUCCAGCCUCAUUGAGCCACUCCAACCUGAAAGGACGAGAAAGAGGCCGAGUAACAAGCCCAAGUUUCUUUACUAGGGUGUCACUAGCCACAUUAGUGCAACUACCUCCAUCAAUGAUUAAAGAACAAACUUUAUCAGAAAUGAGACAUCUAGAGUGAAAGAGAUUCUCCCUUUGUUCUUUGUCAUUGGAUUUUGGUUGGACACUCAAGGCACGCCUAGUAACCAGUAGUGAACCAUGGCUCGGUUCUUCAAGAACAUCCUCAUCAUAAAUCGGAUAAGAACUCUCCACAAAGGUCGAGCAAAACUCAUUGAUCACUCCAUCGACCUCCUCAUCAAAGAUGGGAUCAGUGGUGUCGUCCAAGACUCUCCUAGUAACAAGAAGGGGACCAUGAACCGGGAAGUCAAGUGCUUCUUCCUCAUUAUCAUCAUCAUACACUGGUCCGAGAUCCUCCUUGUCUUCUUCAGAUUCGACUUCUCCAUUCUCCAAGAGCACCAUCACCUUUUGGUUUGGACAUCGGUUGGCAUAGUGGCCAAGGCCAUGACACCUAAAGCAUUGGAUGUCUCUGGUUCGUUUGGUAGCCUCUUCUUUCUUUUCUCUAUCAACACGAGCAGGGACAUUAGUCUUAAAAGCUGUAUUUGUUGUGGAAGAAGACUUACCCUUGUCUUGAUAGUUUGGCUUGGAAGCAAAGGUCGGUUUAGAGGCAAAGGUCGGUUUAGUGAGACCCUUUCUCUUGACUUGUUGCUCGAUCAGCACGGCCUUGUGUAGCAUCUGCUCCAUGCUGUCAUAGUCCUCCAGCUCCAUGCGGUCUUGUAUGUCCCGAUUGAGCCCGGUAAGAAAUCUGGCCAUGGUGGCGUCUAAGGGCUCUUCUACAUCAGCUUUGAUCAUCAAGGUCUCCAUCUCCUGGUGAUAGUCCUCAACUGACUUAGAACCUUGAAGCAAACGCCUGAGUUUAUGGUGUAGAUCUCGGUGGUAAUGGUCGGGAACAAAGCGUCUCCGCAUCAGCAUGGAAAGCUCAUCCCAUGUAUCAACUGGCGCCUCACCUGCUCUCCUCCUGCUAGUCACAACUCGAUCAUACCAGUUAAUAGCAUAGCCAGUAAACUCAGCAGCAGCAAGUCUAACCUUUUUAAUAUCAGAAAAAUUUUGACAAUCAAACACAAGUUCAAUUUUUCUUUCCCAUUCAAGAAAGGCAUCCGGAUCAUUUUUGCCAUCAAAACUUGGAAUUUUCAAUUUCAAACCACUCAAGCCAUCAUUGGUUCUUUCAUUUCUACCAAAAGGAUUGACAUCACCUCGGUUUUGAUGCCUAGGAACUCUCCUUGGACGGUUGAUGGAUCGAUCAUCAUCAUAAGACUCUUCUCGGAUUUCUAGGUCGGACCGGCUGUUCCUCCUUGGAUGGUCACGUCUGGUUCUGGUUCGUGACUGAGUUGGUCGGCCCUGAAGUUCAUCAAGCCUCUGAUGGAUCGCCUCCAAACCUGUAUUCAACAAGUUAGACAUAGAAUCAUUGAGAGCACGCAUUUGCAAGUUAGAUAAUCCGGCAUAUGAAUUUCCGGGUCGGUUUCUUUCUUCUUCACUAUCCAUGGUUUCCUGAAAACUUAAACAAGGUAAAGUUAGAUUAAAACCCUCACACACUCAGGUGUUUAUCCUCACCCACACACGUGUUUCACUCAAUUUUUGUUGGUAAUCACACAAGAGAGUUCCUCCCAAAGUUCUAAGAGAGCAAACUAGAUCACCCAAUGAGCAAAACCAAGUGAACCACAAAGAUCAAGAGAGAAAGAUAAGAGAUUUAGAGGGGAACCCGCCUUAACCUCCUCAAAGACCGGAUUUCUCUUCGGCCAGCAGGCUUUCUCUUCCACCACCACACCACAAACAAAUCAAACUUUGGAAUAUCUUUUUUUUUUUUUUAUACUUUUUUUUUUUUUUUUUAUAGAUCUUUCUUUUUUUUUUUUUAUGGGGGUAAUGAGGGGCCCGGGUUCAAGAUAGAUAGAUAUGAAAUUUAGAUGAAGAAUAUGGAAGAUGAGAUGAAAUGGAUUGAAAAAGAGUUACCGAGAGAGUGGCUCUGAUACCACUUGAUAGAACCAAAAUAAGGAUCACUCUUUCGGUAAGGUUGAUAUGAACUCAGAUCCGAGAGGAUUGAGAACUGAUGGAUCGAAGGGUGACACUAAGGGUUGCGGAUGAGCCCAAAGAUACUACCAGAUAUUCGAAGGUUGCCGGAUGUGACGCACCGGUCCAACACAACGAAGUGGUUCGCUUGGAGAUGACCUCACCAAGAGAAGUAUGAAUGUUCUAAGCAAAGAACAAUGAGAGAAGACUCAAAAUAAGCAAAGGAAAAUCGAUGUGAUUUUAUUAAGGGGGAUCAUCACAUACUUAUAAGGUUUGUGAGUCAAAGAAACAUAAAGACAUUUGUGGGAAAAGACAACAUAAAAAAUAGAAAUGAAUGAAAACAAGACAUAGAAACUAGAAAUGAAGACUUUGACUAAAGACUGGUCAAGGUGCGGAUUCUUGUGUUGACUGGUCCAGAUUCACAAAAACGUCCAGGUUCAUCCUCUGGUGAUCAGGUCGUUCGCGGUAAGGAGCAGGACGGACGUAAGGCUGCCCGCAUGAUUGAUCGUCGAUGAUCCAUGAACGGAUGAAGAGAUAGCUCGACCCAAAUCUUCAGAGAGCUUAAGUAUCCUUCCUUUGGAGUAGUUGGAAGCAUCGUUCAUCAUGAAAUCAUCAAAGUGGUUGGAAAGGUCGUGAUCAGCCUGAUCCGGGCGUGCGGUACGUCCCAAACGGGCCAGGAAAGACAGGCUAAGUCCGGAAUCUGAUUCUUCUCGAUGAUCAUGGGUUCUGGCUUGACUGUUGGCUCUAGAAUGGCGAAUGGGUCGGGGAAGAACGCCUGUGGUUUGGCUGAUUUGGUCAUCAGGUCGUGGAUCCAUCCUUAGGUCACGUCCGGGUGCACGCGGGUCGAUCCGGUACACGGCUCUGUCCGUUGAUCUGGAACGGCUAAAUGGCUGAACCUCAGUUGGACUGAUCUGAUCGUCCUGGUCACCAUGCUGAGUCUGCUCCACGUCCAGGUCCAGGUCCUGGGUUCUAUCACUACCUUCAUCCAUCAGAUAAUCCAGGAGCU